GCCUUCUUCCGAACAUGGUGAAGGAGCGCAUGGAAGCCUUCAUUUGCUCUUCUGACCCCACAGUGGUGCAUUACCUGCCCACUAUUACGUUUGAAGGUGCACUUUUGGACACGAAGUCAUUUGCUGUCUGCCUAGAGGAGCUGAGAAUUGAAGAAGACAGCUUGUUGGCUACAAUAGCCACCUUACUGGCCCUGUACU
rnacentral:lncRNA from 1 species